CAUGUACUCCCUCCGUCCUAAAAUACUUGUCGGAGAAAUGGAUAAAAUUGAAUGUAUCUAUAACUAAAAUACGUCUAGAUUCAUCCAUUUUUCCUGACAAGUAUUUCCGGACGGAGGGAGUAUAAC
rfam:Triticum aestivum genome assembly, contig: Triticum_aestivum_CS42_TGACv1_scaffold_288274_4AL